CGAACGCUUGCGGCGUGCCUAACACAUGCAAGUCGAACGAGAAAAUCUUGCUUGCAAGAUGAGUAAAGUGGCGCACGGGUGAGUAACGCGUGGGUAAUCUACCUUUGGGACAGGGAUAACACUUCGAAAGGGGUGCUAAUACCUGAUACGAUGCGAACUUCAUAAGGAGUCUGCAUGAAAGGUGACCUCUUCCUUGAAAGUUGCCGCUCGAAGAUGAGCCCGCGUCCCAUUAGCUUGUUGGUGGGGUAAUGGCCUACCAAGGCGAAGAUGGGUAGCUGGUCUGAGAGGAUGAUCAGCCACACUGGAACUGAGACACGGUCCAGACUCCUACGGGAGGCAGCAGUGGGGAAUAUUGCGCAAUGGGGGAAACCCUGACGCAGCAACGCCGCGUGAGUGAUGAAGGCCUUCGGGUCGUAAAGCUCUGUCAGGUGGGAAGAACAAGGAAAUCCCCAAUAAGGGUUUCCUUUGACGGUACCACCAGAGGAAGCACCGGCUAACUCC
rnacentral:rRNA from 1 species